GCAGCGCGUGCUACCAUGCAGUCGAACGAUGAACCCGAAGCUUGCUUUGGGGGAUUAGUGGCGAACGGGUGAGUAACACGUGAGCAACCUGCCCCUCACUCUGGGAUAAGCGCUGGAAACGGCGUCUAAUACUGGAUACGAGACGCGACCGCAUGGUCAGUGUCUGGAAAGAUUUUUUGGUGGGGGAUGGGCUCGCGGCCUAUCAGCUUGUUGGUGAGGUAAUGGCUCACCAAGGCGUCGACGGGUAGCCGGCCUGAGAGGGUGACCGGCCACACUGGGACUGAGACACGGCCCAGACUCCUACGGGAGGCAGCAGUGGGGAAUAUUGCACAAUGGGCGGAAGCCUGAUGCAGCAACGCCGCGUGAGGGAUGACGGCCUUCGGGUUGUAAACCUCUUUUAGCAGGGAAGAAGCGAAAGUGACGGUACCUGCAGAAAAAGCACCGGCUAACUACGUGCCAGCACCG
rnacentral:rRNA from 1 species